rnacentral:rRNA from 1 species
UACGAGUGCUCCGAGCGUUAUCCGGAAUCAUUGGGCGUAAAGGGUGUGUAGGUGGUUGUGUUAGUCUUUUGUUAAAUUCUUCGGCUUAACCGGGGGCAUGCAAAAGAAACGGCACGACUAGAGGAUGCGAGAGGCACAUGGAACUCAUGGAGUAGGGGUGAAAUCCGUUGAUAUCAUGGGGAACACCGAAAGCGAAGGCAAUGUGCUGGCGCACUCCUGACACUGAGACACGAAAGCGUAGGUAGCGAAUGGG